rnacentral:SRP_RNA from 1 species
GCCGGGCAUGGUGGCCCAUGCCUAUAGUCCCAGCUGCUCAGGAGACUGAGGUGAGAGGAUUGCUUGAGCUUGGGAGGAUGAGAAUGCAGUGAGUCAGACUGUGCCACUGCAUUCCAGCCUGGGCAACAGAGCAAGACCCCAUCUCUA